rnacentral:rRNA from 1 species
UACGUAGGGUGCGAGCGUUGUCCGGAAUUACUGGGCGUAAAGAGCUCGUAGGUGGUUUGUCGCGUUGUCCGUGAAAUUCCCUGGCUUAACUGGGGGCGUGCGGGCGAUACGGGCAGACUGGAGUACUGCAGGGGAGACUGGAAUUCCUGGUGUAGCGGUGGAAUGCGCAGAUAUCAGGAGGGAACACCCGGGUGGCGAAGGCGGGUCUCUGGGGCAGUAA